GAUUCUGCCCUACGGGGAAGGAUGAGAAGCUUCGACUAAGGUUCGACUCGAGCGCCAGCGAGAGAACGUUGCCAAGGGCAACGGCCCGAAGGGCGAGGAGCGAUAGCGACGAGUUAUCCUUCCCCCUCUAUUC
rnacentral:sRNA from 3 species